UGAUAAGAGCUUGCUCUUCGAUUCAGCGGCGGACGGGUGAGUAAUGCCUAGGAAUCUGCCUGGUAGUGGGGGACAACGUUUCGAAAGGAACGCUAAUACCGCAUACGUCCUACGGGAGAAAGCAGGGGACCUUCGGGCCUUGCGCUAUCAGAUGAGCCUAGGUCGGAUUAGCUAGUUGGUGAGGUAAUGGCUCACCAAGGCGACGAUCCGUAACUGGUCUGAGAGGAUGAUCAGUCACACUGGAACUGAGACACGGUCCAGACUCCUACGGGAGGCAGCAGUGGGGAAUAUUGGACAAUGGGCGAAAGCCUGAUCCAGCCAUGCCGCGUGUGUGAAGAAGGUCUUCGGAUUGUAAAGCACUUUAAGUUGGGAGGAAGGGCAUUAACCUAAUACGUUAGUGUUUUGACGUUACCGACAGAAUAAGCACCGGCUAACUCUGUGCCAGCAGCCGCGGUAAUA
rnacentral:rRNA from 1 species